GUGGGGAAUCUUGCGCAAUGGGCGAAAGCCUGACGCAGCCAUGCCGCGUGGAUGAUGAAGGUCUUAGGAUUGUAAAAUCCUUUCACCGGUGAAGAUAAUGACUGUAGCCGGAGAAGAAGCCCCGGCUAACUUCGUGCCAGCAGCCGCGGUAAUACGAAGGGGGCUAGCGUUGCUCGGAUUUACUGGGCGUAAAGGGCGCGUAGGCGGACAUUUAAGUCAGGGGUGAAAUCCCGGGGCUCAACCUCGGAACUGACUUUGAUACUGUGUGUCUUGGGUAUGAGAGAGGUGUGUGGAACUCCGGGUGUAGAGGUGAAAUUCGUAGAUAUUCGGAAGAACACCAGUGGCGAAGGCGGCUCACUGGCUCGAUACUGACGCUGAGGUGCGAAAGCGUGGGGAGCAAACAGGAUUAGAAACCCGUGUAGUCC
rnacentral:rRNA from 1 species